rnacentral:rRNA from 1 species
CACGAACCGUACGAACGUUAUUCGGAAUUACUGGGCUUAAAGGGUUUGUAGGCGGCCUUGUAAAUCAGGUGUGAAAGCCCUCGGCUCAACCGAGGAACAGCGCUUGAUACUGCAAGGCUUGAGGGAGACAGGGGUAAGCGGAACUGAUGGUGGAGCGGUGAAAUGCGUUGAUAUCAUCAGGAACACCGGUGGCGAAAGCGGCUUACUGGGUCUCUUCUGACGCUGAGGAACGAAAGCUAGGGUAGCGAACGGG